rnacentral:rRNA from 1 species
UUCCUACGGGGGACAGCAGUAGGGAAUCUUCCGCAAUGGACGAAAGUCUGACGGAGCAACGCCGCGUGAGUGAUGAAGGUUUUCGGAUCGUAAAGCUCUGUUGUUAGGGAAGAACAAGUACCGUUCGAAUAGGGCGGUACCUUGACGGUACCUAACCAGAAAGCCACGGCUAACUACGUGCCAGCAGCCGCGGUAAUACGUAGGUGGCAAGCGUUGUCCGGAAUUAUUGGGCGUAAAGGGCUCGCAGGCGGUUCCUUAAGUCUGAUGUGAAAGCCCCCGGCUCAACCGGGGAGGGUCAUUGGAAACUGGGGAACUUGAGUGCAGAAGAGGAGAGUGGAAUUCCACGUGUAGCGGUGAAAUGCGUAGAGAUGUGGAGGAACACCAGUGGCGAAGGCGACUCUCUGGUCUGUAACUGACGCUGAGGAGCGAAAGCGUGGGGAGCGAACAGGAUUAGAUACC